rnacentral:rRNA from 1 species
GAUGAACGCUAGCUACAGGCUUAACACAUGCAAGUCGAGGGGCAGCAUGGUCUUAGCUUGCUAAGGCCGAUGGCGACCGGCGCACGGGUGAGUAACACGUAUCCAACCUGCCGUCUACUCUUGGACAGCCUUCUGAAAGGAAGAUUAAUACAAGAUGGCAUCAUGAGUCCGCAUGUUCACAUGAUUAAAGGUAUUCCGGUAGACGAUGGGGAUGCGUUCCAUUAGAUAGUAGGCGGGGUAACGGCCCACCUAGUCUUCGAUGGAUAGGGGUUCUGAGAGGAAGGUCCCCCCACAUUGGAACUGAGACACGGUCCAAACUCCUACGGGAGGCAGCAGUGAGGAAUAUUGGUCAAUGGACGAGAGUCUGAACCAGCCAAGUAGCGUGCAGGAUGACGGCCCUAUGGGUUGUAAACUGCUUUUAUAAGGGAAUAAAGUGAGUCUCGUGAGAUUUUUUGCUAUGUACCUUAUGAAUAAGGACCGG